rnacentral:rRNA from 1 species
GAGUUUGAUCCUGGCUCAGGAUGAACGCUGGCGGCGUGCUUAACACAUGCAAGUCGAGCGGAGGUUUAAAGCGGAAGUUUUCGGAUGGAAGCAAUAAACCUUAGCGGCGGACGGGUGAGUAACGCGUGGGUAACCUGCCUCAUACAGGGGGAUAACAGUUAGAAAUGACUGCUAAAACCGCAUAAGCGCACAUUGUCGAGUGACAGAGUGUGAAAAACUCCGGUGGUAUGAGAUGGACCCGCGUCUGAUUAGCUAGUUGGUGAGGUAACGGCCCACCAAGGCGACGAUCAGUAGCCGGCCUGAGAGGGCGACCGGCCACAUUGGGACUGAGACACGGCCCAAACUCCUACGGGAGGCAGCAGUGGGGAAUAUUGCACAAUGGGGGAAACCCUGAUGCAGCGACGCCGCGUGAGUGAAGAAGUAUUUCGGUAUGUAAAGCUCUAUCAGCAGGGAAGAAGAAAGACGGUACCUGACUAAGAAGCCCCGGCUAACUAC